ensembl:snoRNA
AUGUUAGUUUCAUAAGCGAUGACUGGGUUUUCAUGCUCAUGUGUGAGAUGUGCCUCCCUCAAACCUUGUUAUGAUGUUGGCACAUUACCCGUCUGAUG